UCGGGAAUUUUGGGCAAUGGGGGAAACCCUGACCCAGCAACGCCGCGUGAAGGAUGAAGUAUUUCGGUAUGUAAACUUCGAAAGAAUAGGAAGAAUAAAUGACGGUACUAUUUAUAAGGUCCGGCUAACUACGUGCCAGCAGCCGCGGUAAUACGUAGGGACCAAGCGUUGUUCGGAUUUACUGGGCGUAAAGGGCGCGUAGGCGGCAUGACAAGUCACUUGUGAAAUCUCUGGGCUUAACCCAGAACGGCCAAGUGAUACUGUCGCGCUAGAGUGCAGAAGGGGCAAUCGGUAAUUCUUGGUGUAGCGGUGAAAUGCGUAGAUAUCAAGAGGAACACCUGAGGUGAAGACGGGUUGCUGGGCUGACACUGACGCUGAGGCGCGAAAGCCAGGGGAGCAAACGGGAUUAGAUACCCCCGUAGUCCCUGAGCGGGCUGGCAAGGCGCAU
rnacentral:rRNA from 1 species